AUUCUACCACUUGAUUCGUCCAUUGUGGAAUCAAGUCAGUAUAAUCACAGAACCAUGUCGUCUGAAAACUCUCUCAGAGAGUCUGACAUACUUCAUCCCUACAAGCCUUCUGCCUCUCAGUUGAAAUGACCAUUUGUUGGAACAAGCAGCUGCAAUCGAGGUGACUUGCAGCACUACCAGUGGGAGGAAGCUACAUUUCCUCAUUGAGGAAUCAUCAACAUUGAGAAGAGAUAAGCUGUCUCCACAGAGUCUUACUUGAAUUUCUGGCCUGGCUCCUGUUUUAUAGCAUAAAUUUUGAACUG